GUAUGAUAGCGAAACCGACCAAAAAUAUAUCCAAAAAAACCCGGAUAAUAUUUGGUUGUAUCUAUUGUGAUACAGAAAUGGAGAUGGAAAAGUGUGUGCAAAGAUGGUUAGUCAACGCGUCAGAGUGGGACCCAUCCCCCAACGAAUUCUGGAUCGCGAUGUCUGUUCUACCUCAACAUGAACACUCAUCAAUCACCAGGUUUGUGAAAAUCGAAGACCGAAAGAGGGCACUUGUCAGCCGGUUGUUGCAGUAUGCACUCGUGCAUCAAGUUGUUGGGCUUCCGUUUGAUGAAAUCGUCAUCAAUCGCACACCUGAAGGCAAGCCUUACCUGUGUUUGCUUAGGAAAAACAUCUGAAUGUGAAAUUUCCAAAUUUCAACUUCAACGUUUCGCAUCAUGGUGACUAUGUGGCAAUAGCUUCCGAACCGAUUUGCCUUGUGGGUUUGGACAUUGUAUCUUGCUUCAUUCCUGGGAAAGAAAGCGCUUCAGAUUUCAUUCGCAAUUUCUCGUCCUACUUUUCAAGCUCCGAGUGGGAAAAGAUCGUCAACGCUGGUUCUGAUGAUAAUGUUUUGGACACGUUUUUCAGGUAUUGGUGUUUAAAGGAAGCAUUCGUCAAGGCCUUGGGCACAGGAGUCGGGUAUAAGUUGGAUUAUGUGGAAUUUCAUCACAAAGACUGGACCGAUAUAUGUGUCAAAGUAGAUGGAGUUGUGCUAAAUGACUGGAAUUUUUGGCUUUCCGAACUUCAAGGAAGACAUCGGAUUGCUGUUGCAAGGGGUCACCCGAGAAUUGCUGCUGAAAAUUACAAGAAAACACUUAAACAGAGUCACUUUGACGAUGAUCUUUACAAACUAGGUUUUCAUCUACCAAAUCCAGUGUUUGUUAUGAGAUCAGUUGAAGAACUAUGUUCCCUUUUCCCGGUGGUAAAAUAGCCGGAUCAAUGAAGUUGGAUAACGGGUCAAAACAUGUAAUUUUCAGUAUGGAUUGUGUAGGCUUGACUAGCUAAAUCACAAAAUUUUACCCAUUUGAUGUAAACCCUAACGUAAAUCAACUCAUUCUAGUUGUAUUAUGAGCUUCCCGUGUAUAGUUUA